GAGAGAGAGAGAGAGAGAGAGAGAGAGAAGGAGUCUCUGGGAUGGAUGAGGCUAAUAUUUCAGGAGAGACAGAGGGAGAAGGAGUCUCUGGGAUGGAUAAGGCUAAUAUUUCAGGAGAGACAGAGGGAGAAGGAGUCUCUGGGAUGGAUAAGGCUAAUAUUUCAGGAGAGACAGAAGGGGUAUCUGGGAUGGAUGAGGCUAAUAUUUCAGGAGAGACGGAGUAGGGGUAUCUGGGAUGGAUGAGGCUAAUAUUUCAGGAGAGACGGAGAAGGGGUAUCUGGGAUGGAUGAGGCUAAUAUUUCAGGAGACAGAAGGAGAAGGGGUCUCUGGGAUGGCCCCUGGAUGAGUCUGAAGGGAAGUGUGUAUCACUUUCUCAUAAACUGUUCUAACUCACCACUCAGCCUGUUCCCACUGGAGGCUACAGCAGUCAGUAAUAAUGCUCUAAGUUGUACACACACUCUGUGAAGAACCGCUUGGUCUCUGGUUCACUCAACCACAAACAUGAUGAUGACUCCCACAGUUAGACAGAGUACGAGUGCAGUUUCGUGUAUGACUAAAAAUGAAUAUUCUCUCCAUGGUGCCCUCCUACACACGCACGGACACGCACGGACACGCACGGACACGCACGGACACGCACACGCACGCACGGACACGCACGGACACGCACGGACACGCACGGACACGCACGGACACGCACGGACACGCACGGACACGCACGGACACGCCACACGCACGGACACGCACGGACACAAAUAUAUACACACACACCGACUAACGUCUUUAAAAACACAGGUCACUGUUUUCAUGAGGUUAUUGAUGUCAUUCUGUAAAAAGUGUCAGUGAACUUCUCCAGGAAACCUGGCAAGUAGUUUUCCUGGUGUGAUGUCACCACCUUGGUCUGUGUUCACGGUUCCCAUUAGUUUUCCUGGUGUGAUGUCACCACCUUGGUCUGUGUUCACGGUUCCCAUUCGUUUUCCUGGUGUGAUGUCACCACCUUGGUCUGUGUUCACGGUUCCCAUUAGUUUUCCUGGUGUGAUGUCGCCACCUAGUGGUCUUGUGUAUUAUUAGCUUCUAACCAGUACAACAAGAGGAGGAUGCAGUUAGGCAUUUAUUGUCAUGAAUCUUGCCCUGGAGGCAGCUUGCAGAGUGGUCACUAGCUGGCACAGCCAUAAAGUCAGAAAAUAUACAUUUGAACCUAACCUUAAGCACACUGCUAACCCUAAUGACUAAUCCCAAACUUAAAUGAAGACCAAAAAGCAAAUGUUUGUUUUCAUGAAUUUUUACAAUACAGCCUAUUUUGACUUUGCAGCUGGCCCAUGUAAUGAAAAUCACACAGUUCUACCUCCAGGGCAAGAUUAAUGACAAUAAACGUCAACCUGCGAGAAGGAUGGGCCUCCUCCCGUAUGAGGGAGAUCGCGUCCUCUCUCUCCUCGUCUCCUUCUCAAAAACACAUUGGAAAAAAGCUAGAGGUCCUUCCCCUCUGAUCUUCUCCUCCGGUGGGUUUUGAGACGAGGAGAUAUUAAGUUUCUCCAUGACUCUUGUUUCUCUCAAGGUUUCUUCCUUCGAAGGAGAUGUUGACUUGCCACUCUACUGCUGCUUGCAUAGGGAUCUAGAACGGCUUACGGUAAAAGCACUUUGUGACUGAUGAUAUAGAAAGGGAUUUAUGGAUAGAAUUUGAUUUGUUUAGCAGCAGGUAAGGAUGAGACGUAAAAAACAUGUAAAAUCCACAUAGAUCACAAUGAUACACCAUGACAACAACACAAUGAUACACCAUGACAACAACACAAUGAUACACCAUGACAACAACACAAUGAUACACCAUGACAACAACACAAUGAUACACCAUGACAACAACACAA
ensembl:lncRNA